UACGGAAGGCAGCAGUAGGGAAUAUUGGGCAAUGGCCGAGAGGCUGACCCAGCCAUGCCGCGUGCAGGAUGAAGGCUUUUCUGAGUCGUAAACUGCUUUUGCCAGGGAGAAAAAAGGGCGUGCGCGCUCUACUGACGGUACCUGGUGAAUAAGCACCGGCUAACUCCGUGCCAGCAGCCGCGGUAAUACGGAGGGUGCAAGCGUUGUCCGGAUUUAUUGGGUUUAAAGGGUGCGUAGGCGGCCGUUUUAAGUCUGGGGUGAAAGCCCGUUGCUCAACAACGGAACUGCCCUGGAAACUGGAUGGCUUGAGUACAGACGAGGGUGGCGGAAUGGAUGCUGUAGCGGUGAAAUGCAUAGAUAGCAUCCAGAACCCGAUUGCGAAGGCAGCUGCCUAGACUGUAACUGACGCUGAGGCACGAAAGCGUGGGGAGCGAACAGGAUUAGAAUACC
rnacentral:rRNA from 1 species